UUUCUCCAUUGCUAUCUUUUUGCUGUGACAUAUUUAGACGAUUCCUUCAGUUCCCCACAAUGUUUUCCAGUGGGUAUCAAGCUAUUUUCUAAUUUCACUAAGCCCAACUGUACUUGAUGGAAAUUCUCUGGACACUUUAGGAAUUCUAAAGAAAUCAAUGGUUAGCAGGCCCAUGAAUAAUCUUUGGGGCAUAAUGAAGACUCUGAUGGAAAAGAGGUUGUCAAGAAAGUUCUAGAGGAGGACUUUGGCCACAGCGAUCUUGGGGAACAAAUGUGCUUCGGGUGUGAGGAGAGACUUGCUUAAUCAGAAGACUUUCCAGCUUCACUGCUCUGCAAGAAUGUGGACAGGACGGAGGCCCACCUUCCAGAAGAAAACAAGGCGGAGCCAGUACCGCUCCUCAUUUGCGGAUGAACACCUGCAGAGCACAAAGCCUCUGCACUCGUGGGGGCUGCAGACUGGGAGCUGCUCCUCGGCCCUAGACAGAAUGUUUCUUCAAUCCCUUUCCUGGUACCCACAGCCCGGCUGGAUAUAGUAGGCGAAUCCUCCCCAUCUAAAAUGGCUCUGAAAUCAGGCUGGGGAGAGAGAGUGCAAAGAAGGUCAGUACACUGAGCAAGUGCUCAGCUGGGACUGGGCGCCACCCUCCCAGACCUCACCUGCUUCACCUGCCACACGCAGCCACACGCAGCCACACAGCCCCUGAUGGAGCCCUGUGCUAGGGAGGCUGGGAGGGGUGAAGUGGCCGCGGCUGAGGUGUGAGAAAGGAUUGAGGAGGGUCCCCGUGGGCCUUAAGCCAGGCGUGCCAUCAUACCUGGCCAGCUAGAAGCUGAGAAGACCUUGGCCAGAGGUCUGCUGCUGUCACAGGACCUCAAACUGAGAAGCGUGGAGUCCAUCCUCCUAGGAACAGUAUAGCGCAUCCCCAGGCGAGGCUGCAGUGGGCCUUCUGUGCCCUAACUAAAUUGCCAGCCCUGGCUGUUAGAGCCUGGGGCGCUGGAUGUGUGGGGAG
rnacentral:lncRNA from 10 species